UACGGAGGGAGCUAGCGUUAUUCGGAAUUACUGGGCGUAAAGGGUUUGUAGGUGGCCCCUUAAGUCAGACGUGAAAUCCCUCAGCUUAACUGGGGAACUGCGUCUGAUACUGAGUGGCUUGAGUGCAGGAGAGGAACGCGGAAUUCCAGGUGUAGCGGUGAAAUGCGUAGAUAUCUGGAGGAACACCGGUGGCGAAGGCGGCGUUCUGGACUGUAACUGACACUGAAAAACGAAAGCCAGGGGAGCAAACGGG
rnacentral:rRNA from 1 species